GACGAACGCUGGCGGCGUGCUUAACACAUGCAAGUCGAACGGAAAGGCCCUGCUUUUGUGGGGCGCUCGAGUGGCGAACGGGUGAGUAACACGUGAGUAACCUGCCCUUGACUUUGGGAUAACUUCAGGAAACUGGGGCUCAUACCGGAUAUGAGCUCCUGCUGCAUGGUGGGGGUUGGAAAGAUUCGGCGGUUGGGGAUGGACUAGCGGCUUAUCAGCUUGUUGGUGGGGUAGUGGCGUACCAAGGCUUUGACGGGUAGCCGGCCUGAGAGGGUGACCGGCCACAUUGGGACUGAGAUACGGCCCAGACGCCUACGGGAGGCAGCAGUGGGGAAUAUUGCACAAUGGGCGGAAGCCUGAUGCAGCAACGCCGCGUGCGGGAUGACGGCCUUCGGGUUGUAAACCGCUUUCGCCGGUGACGAAGCGUGAGUGACGGUAAUGGGUAAAGAAGCACCGGCUAACUACAUG
rnacentral:rRNA from 1 species